AAAAGACGGGAAGGAUAAAUGAGUAAUUGAAUCUUACCUGGAACGGAAAUGAGAUGGCUUCCAUAAAGGUGGAAAAAACCCUAGAACUGCAUAAUCUAAUGAAAGCCAUUGUCGACGCUAAUAAGGAACCCAUAGUCGAUAAACUAGCAAGAAUGACGAGUUUGCACCAUUAGGUAAGCUCGCAAUCACACAUUCUAGCACUAUAAUCAAAUCUGUGAUUCAUUUUAUUAUUUGAUAUGCAAUGAAUUAAUGUAUCUUGUCAAACAACCUUGUUGAUGAAUGGAAUAAUGAGCAUGUUGAUUGCAAAGAAAUUGAAAUGAUCAAAGAUAUAUCAUACAUAUUUAGGUGAGUGUGCUUAUUGAAGCUAAUUGAUUGAAUGCUGGAGAAGGAAGUAAAACAAUUUUUGUUGUCCAGGUCUGUCAAUGGAGAUUGUGAAAUAACAAAGUUGGAGAUUAAGCAUCUAAAAUAAAGAUGUAGAAAUUUAUUUUUAGAAGAAGAAGAAGAUAGGAUAUCAAAUUGCAGAAUAAAAUUUAAAUUAUUUAACAAAUUGAAGGGAAAACAUUGAGGAUAUAAAUUUCAUUAUAGAGAGAAUUAACAUAACAUAAUUUAUUUGAGAAUCUCUAGGAUGAUAAUGCUUAUAUUCUUUUUUUUUUUCCUAUUAUUAAACGUUGAAUCAUGACUUAGUUGAAGUGUAGAGCUACUGGCAUAAAUUUGUAGUAAACAUGUCUUGAAAAAAAUGUUUUCGCUUACUUAUAUGUUGAAUUUUACAAAUUGUGUAUGUGUUUGCUUAUUGUAGCUAUAUGUUAGAAACAAAUUUGGAGCAUCAGAGGUGGAGAAUGUUCUUUAGAGCUUAUAUUGGUUACCUAUAUUUGGACCAUUUGGAGUAAUAUAGAUCAACAACACUAUGCUUGAUAUUUUUCUUCUAUCGACCAGAGGUGGAGAAUGUUCUUUCAUAUGGAACAGCCAAGAAUUGCCAUUAAAUACCUCAGAGAAUCGGUUAGGCAACAAUAUCUGCCAAGAUGCACAUCAAACGUCAAGUAGUCCUGUUCCAUUAUUGAUUGAAUGCUCCGGCAAAGUAGUAGAAUGUUGAGAUAUCUUUUUCUACAGACAAUAUAGUAGUUUACUGGGAAAUGAUCUGAUGAUUGAACUGAAUUUCGCUUGUCAUAUUUAAAUGUAUUUUCCUUUCUU
rnacentral:lncRNA from 1 species